rnacentral:lncRNA from 1 species
UAGGGAUGAAUGGUCAAUGCAUUUCCCAGAGAGGAUUUUCCAGAAAAGAACAAAAUGAAUAUGAUGGGAAUGAAAGAAAGACUCAGACUGAAGAGAUAGAAGAUUGUGUGAACAACCAGGGACUCCCAGGAUGGAAGCCAUGUAACACACAGCCUCUCAGGGCUGUUACAGACUCACUUCAGAAAGAAACUCUGCUCCCCAUGCUGGAAUAGGAGGCAGCCCUUCAGGCAACAAGCCUCAUGAGGGCAAGCUGCCUUUGCCUUCCCUCUCCCAGACUUUCUUACCAACUCUCUUGACU